AGAGUUUGAUCCUGGCUCAGGAUGAACGCUAGCGGCAGGCUUAACACAUGCAAGUCGAGGGGUAACAGGAAGUGCUUGCACUUUGCUGACGACCGGCGCACGGGUGCGUAACGCGUAUACAAUCUACCUUGUACUGAAGAAUAGCCCAGAGAAAUUUGGAUUAAUGCUUCAUGGCCUAUUAGAGUGGCAUCAUUUUAAUAGUAAAGGUCACGGUACAAGAUGAGUAUGCGUCCUAUUAGCUGGAUGGUAAGGUAACGGCUUACCAUGGCGACGAUAGGUAGGGGCCCUGAGAGGGGGACCCCCCACACUGGUACUGAGACACGGACCAGACUCCUACGGGAGGCAGCAGUGAGGAAUAUUGGGCAAUGGAGGCAACUCUGACCCAGCCAUGCCGCGUGCAGGAAGACUGCCCUAUGGGUUGUAAACUGCUUUUGUACAGGAAGAAACACUCCCUCGCGCAGGGAGCUUGACGGUACUGUAAGAAUAAGGAUCGGCUAACU
rnacentral:rRNA from 1 species